rnacentral:lncRNA from 10 species
GUCAGCCUCGGGCACAGCUCCUUUUGACAGUUUGCUCCCCAGGGCGGAAGGUGACCCGCAGGUGCCGGCUGCUUUCCCCACCAAUCAGCCAUCUGUGGUUUGAGACUCACAAGCUUAGGAGAGACUCGGGAGGCAUCAGUUCCGCAUCCCGCACUCCCACGUGAAUUUGCCCCCGCCCUGAGUCAGAACCCUAGAGGGGUGAAAUCCCUGAAUUCUGCAGAGGAAACCCAUACUUCUUUGCUUUUUCAGCAAUUCCAGGAGAUGUCGUUUUUCAAGUGGCAAAUGUGUGGCUCUAGAGGACAGAGUAACCACCUUGCAGCCAAGAAGCCCUGAUGUCAACUCCCAGCUCUGCUGCAGCACCCAGAAAUCACCGGACCUUUCUGCAUCUUUCUGGUCUUUGAGCUUCUUAAAGGGAAGACAUGUCCUAUUCAUCUCUACACCCCCCACACCAGUCUGCAUUCAGUAAGUGCUCAAUCAAUGUCUGCUGAAUCACAUCUUCCCACUCAACUGCAUGGCCUCGGAUGAUCCAAUUCUGUGGGACUCAGGGUCUCCCUGAUUCUGAAGAUCUCCAUUUCAGCCACCCCAUCCUGGUGCUUUUUCUGGAGAGACUGGGAAAAAGGAGACAGAAGAAUCCACUCUAGCUGAGACUCCAGAUUGCCUGGGCUGUAAUUUACGGUGCUAUCACAAAGGGGUCCUUUUUCCGCAUGGUGCUCUGCGGUGAUGAGCCAGAAGCUGAAGCUGAGGGGUGUGUGACUCUCCCGCACACUCUCUGGAGUGAGCAGAAUGGACGCUUAAAUGGCUAAGUAUAGCUUGAAACUGAUUACAGGCCAGAUCCCACUAUUGUGCAUCAUCAGUUGUCAUUGUUGAGACUGAAAUUGCACUGGGAUGUUUCUCUUUGUCACCGGCUCCAAGCUCAUUUCUAGGACAGGAGUGAAACCGUAUGGUGAGCCUCGGGCCCAAGCACAGGGAGAAUUGUUCUUCUGGUGUGUCCCCCAAGGAAGAGCUUGGCAGGUCUUUGGCAGUGGAAGAUGGGCUGGCUUCAGUCAUGAUACCUAUAACAUUGGUAUUGCUAGGGCUUCCAGAUUUAUGGAUAGUAAACUCUAAU